rnacentral:rRNA from 1 species
UACGAAGGGGGGCUAGCGUUGCUCGGAAUCACUGGGCGUAAAGCGCACGUAGGCGGAUCUUUAAGUCAGGGGUGAAAUCCUGGAGCUCAACUCCAGAACUGCCUUUGAUACUGGGGAUCUCGAGUCCGGGAGAGGUGAGUGGAACUCCGAGUGUAGAGGUGAAAUUCGUAGAUAUUCGGAAGAACACCAGUGGCGAAGGCGGCUCACUGGCCCGGUACUGACGCUGAGGUGCGAAAGCGUGGGGAGCGAACAGG